UNCACACAUGUUUAAGUAAGCCAGGUUCAGC
rnacentral:piRNA from 1 species